rnacentral:rRNA from 1 species
UAGUAGUCAUACGCUCGUCUCAAAGAUUAAGCCAUGCAUGUGUAAGUAUAAUAGUUAACUUUGAAACUGCGAAUGGCUCAUUAUAUCAGUUAUAGUUUAUUUGAUGAAGAAUACUAAUUGGAUAACCGUAGUAAUUCUAGAGCUAAUACAUGUAUAAAGUCUUGUAGACUGCAUUUAUUAGAAUGAAAACCAUAGGUUUCGGCCUAUUCGUGAGUAAUAAUAACUAAUCAUAUCGUAUGCUUAUGUAACGAUGUGUCUUUCAAGUUUCUGCCCUAUCAGCUUUCGAUGGUAGUGUAUUGGACUACCAUGGCAGUAACGGGUAACGAAGAAUA